UCAAAAAUGCUGCAGUAAAAGGGUUUGAUAUGAGGUGUGCAUAUAGUAUGGGAUGUCCUUUAUAAGAACUGACCAUUGUUUUUUUCUACUUAUUAGAAAUGAUGUCUUUAUAGCCCUCCAAAUCACCAUUUGGACCCAUAUCUCAAAAAUGCUGCAGUAAAAUGGUUUGAUAUGAGGUGUGCAAAUAGUAUGGGACGUCCCUUAUAGGAACAGACCAUUGUUUUUUUCUACUUAUUAGAAAUGGGAUCUUUACAGCCAUUUAAAGUGUAAUAAUGUCCCAUAUCUCGAAAAUGCUGCAGUAAAAUGGUUUGAUAUGAGGUGUGCAUAUAGUAUGGCAUGUCCUUUAUAAGAACUGACCAUUGUUUUUUUCUACUUAUUAGAAAUUAUGUCUUUAUAGCCCUCCAAAUCACCAUUUGGACCCAUAUCUCAAAAAUGCUGCAGUAAAAUGGUUUGAUAUGAGGUGUGCAAAUAGUAUGGGACGUCCCUUAUAGGAACAGACCAUUGUUUUUUUCUACUUAUUAGAAAUGGGAUCUUUACAGCCAUUUAAAGUGUAAUAAUGUCCCAUAUCUCGAAAAUGCUGCAGUAAAAUGGUUUGAUAUGAGGUGUGCAUAUAGUAUGGCAUGUCCUUUAUAAGAACUGACCAUUGUUUUUUUCUACUUAUUAGAAAUUAUGUCUUUAUAGCCCUCCAAAUCACCAUUUGGACCCAUAUCUCAAAAAUGCUGCAGUAAAAUUGUUUGAUAUGAGGUGUGCAUAUAGUAUAGCAUAUCCUUUAUAA